CCUACGGGUGGCAGCAGUAGGGAAUAUUGCUCAAUGGGGGAAACCCUGAAGCAGCAACGCCGCGUGGAGGAUGAAGGUUUUCGGAUUGUAAACUCCUUUUGUUAGAGAAGAUAAUGACGGUAUCUAACGAAUAAGCACCGGCUAAAUCCGUGCCAGCAGCCGCGGGAUUACUGAGGGUGCAAGCGUUACUCGGAAGCACUGGGGGUAAAGAGCGCGUAGGGGGGAUUGCAAGUCAGAUGUGAAAUCCUAGGGCUUAACCAUAGAACUGCAUUUGAAACUGUUAUUCUAGAGUAUGGGAGAGGUAGGUGGAAUUCUUGGUGUAGGGGUAAAAUCCGUAGAGAUCAAGAGGAAUACUCAUUGCGAAGGCGACCUGCUAGAACAUAACUGACGCUGAUGCGCGAAAGCGUGGGGAGCAAACAGGAUUAGAUACCCGAGUAGUC
rnacentral:rRNA from 1 species